UCCUACGGGGCGCAGCAGUGGGGAAUAUUGCACAAUGGGGGAAACCCUGAUGCAGCGACGCCGCGUGAGUGAAGAAGUAUUUCGGUAUGUAAAGCUCUAUCAGCAGGGAAGAAGAUGACGGUACCUGAUUAAGAAGCCCCGGCUAACUACGUGCCAGCAGCCGCGGUAAUACGUAGGGGGCAAGCGUUAUCCGGAUUUACUGGGUGUAAAGGGAGCGCAGGCGGCGUGGCAAGUCAGAUGUGAAAACCCGGGGCCCAACCCCGGGAGUGCGUUUGAAACUGCCAUGCUGGAGUGCCGGAGAGGUA
rnacentral:rRNA from 1 species